rnacentral:rRNA from 1 species
AUUGAACGCUGGCGGCAUGCCUUACACAUGCAAGUCGAGCGGUAACAGGUUAAGCUGACGUGUGUCGAACGGGUGAGGAAUGUAUCAGAACGUGCCCUGUCGUGGGUGAUAACUGCUCGCAAGAGCAGCUAAUCCCGCAUACGACCUGAGGGCGAAGGCGGGGGGUGGCAAGUCCUCGCGCCAUUGGCUCUGCCGAGAUCAGAUUAGGUAGUUGGUGGGGUAAAGGCUCACCAAGCCGACGAUCGGUAGCUGGUCUGAGAGGACGACCAGCCACACUGGAACUGAGACACGGCCCAGACUCCUACGGGAGGCAGCAGUGGGGAAUUUUGGACAAUGGGCGAAAGCCUGAUCCAGCCAUGCCGCGUGUGGGAAGAAGGUCUUCGGAUUGUAAACCGCUUUUGUCAGGGAAGAAAAGGUUCUGGCUAAUACCUGGGUGUCUUGACGGUACCUGAAGAAUAAGCACCGGCUAACUACGUG